rnacentral:tRNA from 1 species
UUGCGGUUGGAUCACCUCCUUUCAAGGAUGUUUCCUGACACGUUGGGAAACUCCGAAAUAAAAGUCCUUGGCCAGAUUGGUCGAGGCGCCAGACGGUUCUGGAUGGCCGGCCUCAGGGCGCCGUCAACAUAUCCCUUCCUAUAAUUUUCCCGGGCUAGUAGCUCAGUUGGUUAGAGCACACGCUUGAUAAGCGUGGGGUCGGAGGUUCAAGUCCUCCCUGGCCCACCAGAGUUUGGGGGCAUAGCUCAGCUGGGAGAGCACCUGCUUUGCAAGCAGGGGGUCGUCGGUUCGAACCCGUCUGCCUCCACCAGUCAUGGUUGAGAUUUCGGUCUCCCCUGAGUGGUGUGAAGCUCAAAAUCUGGUCCAUAUGGGAAAAUCAUAGGAAACGGGACGUCUGUUUCCUGAUCCUGUCUCCACGAAGUUGGAUGACGCGUCAGGGAUGUUGGGUCUUUUAGAGUGUGAAUAGGUUGGUGCGCAGUCUGCGUGUGCCAUUUCCGGGUUGGUCUGACCCGUUGCUGUGGAGCUUAGGCUUCAUUGCAAUGCUAAGGAAAUGGGGAAGCAUUCAGACAGCGUGAAGAAAAGUGUGACUGACACCGCAUAAGUGCAGAAGUCGGCAACAUCUUUGUGGUGUGGCUGGUUUCUGUGCAUGUGUCUUCAUCUCCGGAUGAAGAAUGGUGUGAGAAUGAGAAGGGCGUUCGGUGGAUUGCCUAGGCACA